rnacentral:rRNA from 1 species
AACGCGAAGAACCUUACCAGCUCUUGACAUGUCCCGUAUGAGUACCAGAGAUGGAACUCUUCAGUUCGGCUGGCGGGAACACAGGUGCUGCAUGGCUGUCGUCAGCUCGUGUCGUGAGAUGUUGGGUUAAGUCCCGCAACGAGCGCAACCCUCGCCCUUAGUUGCCAUCAUUCAGUUGGGCACUCUAAGGGGACUGCCGGUGAUAAGCCGCGAGGAAGGUGGGGAUGACGUCAAGUCCUCAUGGCCCUUACGGGCUGGGCUACACACGUGCUACAAUGGCGGUGACAAUGGGAUGCAAUGGAGUAAUCCUGCGCAAAUCUCAAAAAGCCGUCUCAGUUCGGAUUGUGCUCUGCAACUCGAGCACAUGAAGUUGGAAUCGCUAGUAAUCGCAGAUCAGCACGCUGCGGUGAAUACGUUCCCGGGCCUUGUA